UUAAGUUUACUCUGUUUCUACCACUCUCUCCGAGCUUUAACAAGGUAACAUCUAAUAAAUUAGCUCCAUUGUUUUCUGGCCAAAAAGCUCUCUGGAUCACAACUUCCUCAGCGGACGGAUACCAUCAUCUCUGGGUGCACCGAGUUCUCUGCAACGAUUAUCUCUGUAUUAUAAUAACUUGUCAGAUCUAAUUCCCUGCCAAUUAGGAAACAUCACAGCCCUUCAAACACUAUAUUUGGAUCAGAAUCGACUCUCUGGUCGUCUUCCACCUUCAUUUAGAAAUUUGCGAAAUCUCCAAUACUUCUCGGCGGCAUCCAAUGAUCUCACUGGGGAAUUUUCGGAUUUUUCUAAUCUUACUCAGAUGCGCAUAUUUUCAAUAUCCGGCAACUAUAUGUCUGGUCGCUUUCCAGCUAACUUCAUCAAAAAAUGCACUGAAAUUUUUAUCUCUAAGUUUUUCUUUAGUUAGGAUACGCAAUUCGUAUCAUGUAAAUCCUUGGGAGAAUAGAUGUAAAUGGUACCAAGAGCUUCUUUUCGUUUGGAACCAAGAGCUAUUGAACAUGUAUAAA